rnacentral:rRNA from 1 species
CAAUAGCGUAUAUUAAAGUUGUUGCAGUUAAAAGCUCGUAGUUGGAUUUGUGGCUGUCACAUGCGGCUCGGCAUUCGUGCCGGUGCUUGCUAGUGUCGCCAUCCUUGGGUGGAGCCUGUGUGGCAUUUAGUUGUCGUGCAGGGGAUGCCCAUCGUUUACUGUGAAAAAUUAGAGUGUUCAAAGCAGGCUUAUGCCGUUGAAUAUAUUAGCAUGGAAUAAUAAGAUAGGACCUUGGUACUAUUUUGUUGGUUUGCGCACCAAGGUAAUGAUUAAUAGGGACAGUUGGGGGUGCUAGUAUUCAGCGGCCAGAGGUGAAAUUCUUGGAUUCGCUGAAGACUAACUUAUGCGAAAGCAUUCACCAAGGAUGUCUUCUUUAAUCAAGAACGAAAGUUGGGGGA